rnacentral:rRNA from 1 species
GGUAUGGGAUGAGCUUGCGUCCGAUUAGCUAGUUGGUGGGGCAACGGCCCACCAAGGCGACGAUCGGUAGCCGGCCUGAGAGGGUGAUCGGCCACAUUGGGACUGAGAUACGGCCCAGACUCCUACGGGAGGCAGCAGUAGGGAAUAUUGCACAAUGGGGGAAACCCUGAUGCAGCAACGCCACGUGUGGGAAGAAGCAUUUCGGUGUGUAAACCACUGUCAUGAGGGAAUAAGGCCCGCCUUCGGACGGGAUUGAAUGUACCUUGAGAGGAAGCACCGGCAAACUUCGUGCCAGCAGCCGCGGUAAUACGAGGGGUGCAAGCGUUGUUCGGAAUUACUGGGCGUAAAGGGAGCGUAGGCGGAGAUUCAAGCGGAUUGUACAAUCCCGGGGCCCAACCCCGGCUCUGCAGUCCGAACUGGAUCUCUUGGAUAGUUCAGGGGCAGGC